rnacentral:rRNA from 1 species
AACGAACGCUGGCGGCAGGCCUAACACAUGCAAGUCGAGCGCCCUUUCGGGGGAGCGGCGGACGGGUGAGUAACGCGUGGGAAUAUGCCCUUCUCUACGGAAUAGCCUCGGGAAACUGAGAGUAAUACCGUAUACGCCCUGUGGGGGAAAGAUUUAUCGGGGAAGGAUUAGCCCGCGUUGGAUUAGGUAGUUGGUGGGGUAAUGGCCUACCAAGCCGACGAUCCAUAGCUGGUUUGAGAGGAUGAUCAGCCACACUGGGACUGAGACACGGCCCAGACUCCUACGGGAGGCAGCAGUGGGGAAUCUUAGACAAUGGGGGCAACCCUGAUCUAGCCAUGCCGCGUGAGUGAUGAAGGCCUUAGGGUUGUAAAGCUCUUUCAGCUGGGAAGAUAAUGACGGUACCAGCAGAAGAAGCCCCGGCUAACUCUGUG